CAUAUGGGAAUGAGAUCAUCAUAUUUUUUCUUUUCUGGAAUUACGCAUGGAACAAAAGCUACAAACACCUCUGAAAAGAAAUAUGAUGACACAAGAGUUAUGAUUGUUUUCUUCAUUUCGAGACAGUGUUCAGGAAAUUGCAGAAAUGCUUUGAAAGCAUCAGCCAAUUAUUAGAGUGAUGACGUUUGUUGGCCAUGCUUCAGGGAAAAGCAUGAAAGGUUUUACCAAGAAGGAGCAGUUGGAGGUAGUGAGCGAUCUUGUGAUGAUGGUAACAACGCAUUAGUCUCUACCUGUGUUGGUGAAGGAGGUUCAGACAUUGGAGAAGUUGGACUUAUAAUAUGUUUUGAUGCCCAAAAGAGCCCGAUUCGCCUUAUACAACGAAUGUGGAGAACUGGCCAUGAACGUCAAGGCAGGAUUGUGGUGAUCCUUGCUGAAGGGCGUGAAGAGCGGGUAAGUAGACAGGAGUUAACAUGGCUCAAUGUUUAAAUUUGAGAAACACAACCUAAAAACAAGUACCAGUGUUUAACAUUCAAACCUCAAACAAUUUGAAGGCAAAUGUAAUUUGUGAUUAUAAGA